rnacentral:rRNA from 1 species
AGUGAACGCUGGCGGUAGGCCUAACACAUGCAAGUCGAACGGCAGCACAGGAGAGCUUGCUCUCUGGGUGGCGAGUGGCGGACGGGUGAGGAAUACAUCGGAAUCUACUCUGUCGUGGGGGAUAACGUAGGGAAACUUACGCUAAUACCGCAUACGACCUACGGGUGAAAGCAGGGGACCUUCGGGCCUUGCGCGAUUGAAUGAGCCGAUGUCGGAUUAGCUAGUUGGCGGGGUAAAGGCCCACCAAGGCGACGAUCCGUAGCUGGUCUGAGAGGAUGAUAAGCCACACUGGAACUGUGACACUGUGCGGACUCGUACGGGAGGCAGCAGUGGGGAAUAUUGGACAAUGGGCGCAAGCCUGAUCCAGCCAUACCGCGUGGGUGAAGAAGGCCUUCGGGUUGUAAAGCCCUUUUGUUGGGAAAGAAAUCCAGCUGGCUAAUACCCGGUUGGGAUGACGGUACCCAAAGAAUAAGCACCGGCUAACUUCGUGCCAGCCGCCGCAGUAA